AUGCAAGUCGAGCGGUAGAGAGGUGCUUGCACCUCUUGAGAGCGGCGGACGGGUGAGUAAAGCCUAGGAAUCUGCCUGGUAGUGGGGGAUAACGCUCGGAAACGGACGCUAAUACCGCAUACGUCCUACGGGAGAAAGCAGGGGACCUUCGGGCCUUGCGCUAUCAGAUGAGCCUAGGUCGGAUUAGCUAGUUGGUGAGGUAAUGGCUCACCAAGGCGACGAUCCGUAACUGGUCUGAGAGGAUGAUCAGUCACACUGGAACUGAGACACGGUCCAGACUCCUACGGGAGGCAGCAGUGGGGAAUAUUGGACAAUGGGCGAAAGCCUGAUCCAGCCAUGCCGCGUGUGUGAAGAAGGUCUUCGGAUUGUAAAGCACUUUAAGUUGGGAGGAAGGGCAUUAACCUAAUACGUUAGUGUUUUGACGUUACCGACAGAAUAAGCACCGGCUAACUCUGUGCCAGCAGCCGCGGUAAUACAGAGGGUGCAAGCGUUAAUCGGAAUUACUGGGCGUAAAGCGCGCGUAGGUGGUUCGUUAAGUUGGAUGUGAAAUCCCCGGGCUCAACCUGGGAACUGCAUUCAAAACUGUCGAGCUAGAGUAU
rnacentral:rRNA from 1 species